rnacentral:rRNA from 1 species
UGAGUAACGCGUGGGAACCUGCCCUGUGGUACGGAAUAACUCUGGGAAACCGGAGACUAAUAGCGUAUACGCCCUACGGGGGAAAGAUUUAUCGCCAUAGGAUGGGCCCGCGUCAGAUUAGCUUGUUGGUGGGGUAACGGCCUACCAAUGCUACGAUCUGUAGCUGGUCUGAGAGGAUGAUCAGCCACACUGGGACUGAGACACGGCCCAGACUCCUACGGGAGGCAGCAGUGGGGAAUCUUGGACAGUGGGCGAAAGCCUGAUCCAGCCAUGCCGCGUGAGUGAAGAAGGCCCUAUGGUUGUAAAGCUCUUUCAGCGGGGAAGAUAAUGACGGUACCCGCAGAAGAAGCCCCGGCUAACUUCGUGCCAGCAGCCGCGGUAAUACGAAGGGGGCUAGCGUUGUUCGGAAUUACUGGGCGUAAAGCGCGCGUAGGCGGACUGGCCAGUCAGGGGUGAAAGCCCGGGGCUUAACCUCGGAACUGCCCUUGAUACUGCCAGUCUAGAGUCCGGCAGAGGUGAGUGGAAUUCCUAGUGUAGAGGUGAAAUUCGUAGAUAUUAGGAAGAACACCA